rnacentral:rRNA from 1 species
GUGGAUGCCUUGGCACCAAGAAGCGAUGAAGGACGCGGAUAACUGCGAUAAGCUCGGUAAGCCGUAACAGGCGUUAAGCG